GAAAUGCGAUAAGUAGUGUGAAUUGCAGAAUUCAGUGAUUCAUCGAAUCUUUGAACGCACAUUGCGCCCCUUGGUAUUCCAUGGGGCAUGCCUGUUCGAGCGUCAUUUGUACCUUCAAGCUCUGCUUGGUGUUGGGUGUUUGUCUCGCCUCUGCGCGCAGACUCGCCUCAAAACAAUUGGCAGCCGGCGUAUUGAUUUCGGAGCGCAGUACAUCUCGCGCUUUGCACUCAGAACGACGACGUCCAAAAGUACAUUUUUUACACUCUUGACCUCGGAUCAGGUAGGGAUACCCGCUGAACUUAAGC
rnacentral:misc_RNA from 1 species